rnacentral:lncRNA from 1 species
CUCCACUCUGGGGAGUUGGAAGGCUGGAGCACGGACGAGCCAUCUCUCCCCCUACCUCCUGACCCAAGGGGAGCCGUCAAUUAGAGCCGUGCUUGAGCCUAAGGCUGACCUGAACCGUUUGAAGGCAGAUCUUCCAUGGAGUGCCCCGGUCCUUUUCUGGAAAGGUCAAAGGGAUGAGAGGGGUCUCUGCAGUGUCCUGGAUCUGGUUUCAACCUCACCUUCUCCAUGUAUGAGAAGACAAGUCACUUGGAUUCACCAUGCCUCGGUUUCCCCAGAUGGCAAGCAGGACUCAGCCUUUUGUACCUGGUCCAUCAGAGGACGAGCUUUCACGUGUUAGCCAACACCUCCGUCAUCACCAUCAUUGCCAUGAUCAUCGUCCUCAUCACCUUGACACGCUGAGCUUUGUAGCUUAAAAACAAAAUGCCUUUAACAAUGUGCAACAGGUCUAAGAUGCCACCUUUGGGAUCAGAUGGGAGUUUGGGAUUAUUUCUAUUUUCCAAUUGUUCAGCCCCCUCCCACUAAGUGCGAAGCGGAGAGCCAUUAAGUUGCAAUGGAUUUGAUUCACCACGUGGCCCCUCAAAUCCUUUCUGGAACAAGAUUGGAUGUAAAAAUAAAUCAAAUAAAUGCAUUUUCAGCGUGUGCAGCCCAGCCCA